CCGGCGCACGGGUGAGUAACACGUAUCCAACCUGCCGUCUACUCUUGGCCAGCCUUCUGAAAGGAAGAUUAAUCCAGGAUGGCAUCAUGAGUUCACAUGUCCGCAUGAUUAAAGGUAUUUUCCGGUAGACGAUGGGGAUGCGUUCCAUUAGAUAGUAGGCGGGGUAACGGCCCACCUAGUCAACGAUGGAUAGGGGUUCUAGGAGGAAGGUCCCCCACAUUGGAACUGAGACACGGUCCAA
rnacentral:rRNA from 1 species